rnacentral:rRNA from 1 species
CCUACGGGCGGCAGCAGUGGGGAAUAUUGGACAAUGGGCGCAAGCCUGAUCCAGCAAUGCCGCGUGUGUGAAGAAGGCCUGCGGGUUGUAAAGCACUUUCAGUGGGGAGGAAGGCCUCGAUAUUAAUACUAUUGAGGAUUGACGUUACCCACAGAAGAAGCACCGGCUAACUCUGUGCCAGCAGCCGCGGUAAUACAGAGGGUGCAAGCGUUAAUCGGAGUUAGUGGGCGUGAAGGCUGAGGAGGUGUUUGAAAGCCCCGGGCUCAACCUGGGAAUUGCAUUUGAUACUGAGGAACUUGAGUAUGGUAGAGGGAAGUGGAAUUUCCAGUGUAGCGGUGAAAUGCGUAGAUAUUGGAAGGAACAUCAGUGGCGAAGGCGACUUCCUGGACCAUUACUGACACUGAGGCACGAAAGCGUGGGGAGCGAACAGGAUUAGAUACCCGUGUAGUC